rnacentral:rRNA from 1 species
GACGAACGCUGGCGGCGUGCCUAACACAUGCAAGUCAAGGACUGUAGCAAUACAGGACUGGCGCACGGGUGCGGAACACGUAGGUAAUCUGCCCUUUAGGGGAGAACAACCAGCCGAAAGGUUGGCUAAAUCUCCGUAACAUCACGAUGUGGCAUCACAUUGUAAUCAAGUUUCUAAAGGAUGAGCCUGCGUCUGAUUAGCUAGUUGGUAGUGUAAUGGACACCAAGGCUUCGAUCAGUAGCUGGUCUGAGAGGAUGAUCAGCCACAUUGGGACUGAGACACGGCCCAGACUCCUACGGGAGGCAGCAGUGAGGAAUAUUGCACAAUGGACGAAAGU